UGAGAAUAGGUCUUUUGUGUCAUUUAGGACUUUAUGCAAAAUUUGAUGUCAUCCCCAGUUGAAAUGUUUGAAUUGAUGUUCGGCAUGAGUUAUGGAAGUUAGAAGUUCAUUAGUUUCUUAGGCUUGAAUUGAGGUGGAAUUCGUUAUUUUGAUAUUGUUAUGCAUGACUCGAGGCCCCCAAUAGGUCCUAAUUAUAUUUGGGGAUUGGUUGGUGUGUUUGGACGGUUCCCUAGGGUCUCAGGUGUGUUUUUGAUGGAUUUUAGAUUAUGUUACAUUGAGUUGACAUUCUUAUAGUUGUUGAUUUACGUUGUUUUUGCAUCUGCGGAAUAUCAGUCAGAUAUGCGAGCUUGGAGAUGAAGAAGCGAAGGUAGGCUGGAGGAUACAGGGACCGCGGAUGCGGAAGUUGGGAUGCAGAUGCAGAGGAGGGACCGCAGAUGUGGGAGGUGCUGCGCCCCCUUUUACCUUCCGUAGAAUCAGGUUUAUGAUAUUUUAGUUGGGACAACACUUUCCUUUUGAGAAAAGGGUUUGUAAUUUUGAAGAGUCGCCACCUAAGGAUUUUAGGUACGUUAGGGCACCUAUAGGGUUCUCUUAUAACUGUGUUUGGUAACCGGAGAUAGGGUAAGGGUUUGAAAUUAUCCUAAGGGGAAGAUGUUAGGCACCCCUCAGGAUCCACUAGUGUGGUUCCUGGUCAGACGAUUUUUGUGAAUUUGUGCAAUUAGCAAACAAACAAGUAUGGCUUAAAUAGUAGGGGAUUUAAGUUUAAAUAUACAAGUGUUUGAAAAUAAUUAGUGAAAGGCAAAAUUUUAAAAAGAAUUACAAUCUAAAGCAUGCUUAUGAGUUUAAAUGGGGUGUCCUGGGUUUGUUUAUAAUAUUGGUCACAUCAAUAGAAUACCCAAUAUGACACUCCUCAAAGAGGGGUUAUACGUGGUAUUAACGCACCGGUCAUCAUAUCCAUAUCUACCCUUUC
rnacentral:lncRNA from 1 species